rnacentral:rRNA from 1 species
UUAUGGCUCAGGACGAACGCUGGCGGCGCGCUUAACACAUGCAAGUCGAGCGAGAACCAGGCCUUCGGGCCUGGGGAAAGCGGCGAACGGGUGAGUAACACGUGGGUAACCCACCCUUGGUACUGGGAUAGCCCGGGGAAACCCGGAUUAAUACCGGAUGGCCCAACAGCUCUUAGGGGCGGUUGGAAAAGGUAGCUUCGGCCUCCGACCAAGGACGGGCCCGCGGCGGAUUAGCUUGUUGGUGGGGUAAUGGCCUACCAAGGCGACGAUCCGUAGCUGGUCUGAGAGGACGAUCAGCCACACUGGGACUGAGACACGGCCCAGACUCCUACGGGAGGCAGCAGUGGGGAAUCUUGCGCAAUGGGCGAAAGCCUGACGCAGCGACGCCGCGUGGGGGAAGAAGGCUUUCGGGUUGUAAACCCCUUUCAGGAAGGACGAAGCCACUCGGGUUAAUAGCCCAGAGGGUGACGGUACUUCCAGAAGAAGCCCCGGCUAACUACGUGCCAGCAGCCGCGGUAAUACGUAGGGGGCAAGCGUUGUCCGGAUUUAUUGGGCGUAAAGAGCGUGUAGGCGGUUUGGUAGGUCCGCUGUGAAAACUCGAGGCUCAACCUCGAGACGCCGGUGGAAACCCCCAGACUAGAGUCCGGAAGAGGAGAGUGGAAUUCCUGGUGUAGCGGUGAAAUGCGCAGAUAUCAGGAAGAACACCCGUGGCUAAGGCGGCUCUCUAGUACGGUACUGACGCUGAGACGCGAAAGCGUGGGGAGCGAACAGGAUUAGAUACCCUGGUAGUCCACGCCGUAAACGAUGGGUGCUAGGUGUAGGGGGUGUCGACUCCCUCUGUGCCGAAGCUAACGCAUUAAGCACCCCGCCUGGGGAG